GAUGAAGAACGUAGUGAAAUGCGAUAAGUAAUGUGAAUUGCAGAAUUCGGUGAAUCAUCGAAUCUUUGAACGCAUCUUGCGCUCCUUGGUAUUCUGAGGAGCAUGCCUGUUUGAGUGUCAUUAAAUUCUCAACCGCACUGACUUUGAAUUGGUGUGGCUUGGAUUUGGGGGGAAAAUUGUUGUGGGCUUUUUUGUAUAGUCUGCUCCCCUGAAAUUGAUUAGCGGUACCUUUGUGGAACUGUCUACAGGUGUGAUAAUUAUCUACAUCCUAGACAUCUGCUGGAAUGCUGCUUUCUAAACCUUACUUGUAUUGACAAUCUUGACCUCAAAUCAGGUAGGACUACCCGCUGAACUUAAGCAUAUCAAUAAGCGGAGGA
rnacentral:misc_RNA from 1 species